rnacentral:rRNA from 1 species
GAUGAACGCUGGCGGCGUGCCUAAUACAUGCAAGUCGAACGCUGAAGGAGGAGCUUGCUCUUCUGGCUGAGUUGCGCACGGGUGAGUAACGCGUAGGUAACCUGCCUGGUAGCGGGGGAUAACUAUUGGAAACGAUAGCUAAUACCGCAUGACAACAGUUAUUGCAUGAUAACUGUUUAAAAGGGGCAUCUGCUCUGCUACCAGAUGGACCUGCGUUGUAUUAGCUAGUUGGUGAGGUAACGGCUCACCAAGGCGACGAUACAUAGCCGACCGGAGAGGGUGAUCGGCCAAAACGGGACUGAGACACGGCCCAGACCUCUACGGGGAGGCGCAGGAGGGGAACUUCGGAAAGGGGCGGAAGGCUUAACGAGGAACGCCGCGGGAGGGGAGAAGGGUCUCGGGUCGGAAAGGUCGGUUGUAAGGGAAGAAAGAGUGUGAGAGUGGAAAGUUCACACUGUGACGGUAUCUUACCAGAAAGGGACGGCUAACUACGUG